UGUAGACGUCCAAGAAAGAAAACUUCUACAUACUGGAGUUAGCAUUUAGUAAGAUCCAUGAGUCUAUAUUCUAAUGAACCACUGGAAAGCAUAAGAUAAACCAAACAAAUAGGACAAAAGUCAAUUUAUAAAGUGAAAGUACGUUAUCAACUUUUCUCUCCCGUCUUUCUGAUUUUACUCUCUGAAAUACCUCUGCAAAUUCAAAAUUUUCCCCCUUUUAGCUUUAACCACCGGAUACUCUAGUGCUCUGGUCUAUUAACCUCCGGGUUCGGCCUCCGACCCGGGUCGGUGGGCCGCCGUCAGCCAUGCCAUCAACGCCGGUAAGCUUCCCCACGGUGGUCUCUUUGAUUUCCGGUUUACGUUAACCUGUCUUGCUAUCUUCUCCCCUCAGUAGCAGUGAACCUUCAAGAGCUGUAGCUCUAAGACCUGUAUGGAAUCAAUCUCAACUUUCUAGAGUCAAUCUCUAAGAUCUUUCUCACUUUUUAAGUGUUGAACUGUUACUGGAAUAAUCUCUACCUAGAGUUAACUUCUAAGUUCUCUCUCACUGUUACGUACUGAAUCUUCUCCCUACAAGAAGUUUCAAUCGCAGUCUUCACUAUGUCUCGUCGUCUGACCUACUCUGAGAAAGGAAAAGGUCUAGCAACCCCUGAAUCUCCUCCCCGCCGUGGAAGAGUCAAACUACCAGACUAUGAUAUCUCAGAUCUGUUGAGAAAACACGAGCUCACCCUCAUAGGUAGGGUCACAAAUCUGAAAGCUCAGCGAUUAUGGUCUCUUAUCCCCUUCUUUGCUGACCAUUGGAAGUGCAAGGAAUGUUUCAAUUUCAAUUCGAGAACCCUGAAGACUUGGAAGCAGUACUAGACAACAGGCCAUAUCACUUUGCUAAAUGGAUGGUUAUCAUUCAAAAAUGGGAGCCUACAAUAUCACCUGAGUUCCCCUCACAGAUUCCCUUUUGGGUUCAAGUUCAAGGAGUACUUGUACCUCUAUGGAGUGAAAGUCUACUUCGUGGAGUUGGGGAAGACAUUGGUACCUUUGUGACCUGGGAAAUCACUGCAGCUAAAGCAAAACUCCGAGUCUUAAUCAACGGGUUAAGACCACUUAUUACCACAUCUACGAUUGAGUUUGCUAAUGGUGAUGAAGUAGUGGCUACCUUUGGUGUAUGAGAAGCUGGAGAAACAUUGUAAUUCAUGCUUUAGGCUGGACCAUGAGUGGGAUGAAUGCCCACAAAACC
rnacentral:lncRNA from 1 species